rnacentral:rRNA from 1 species
AAACCAGUACCUCAAGUGGUCAGGAGGAUUAUUGGGCCUAAAGCAUCCGUAGCCUGUUCUAUAAGUUUCCGGUUAAAUCCAUUAGCUCAACUAAUGGGCCGCCGAAAAUACUGUAGAACUAGGGAGUGGGAGAGGCAGACGGUAUUCGGUAGGAAGGGGUAAAAUCCUUUGAUCUAUUGAGGACCACCUGUGGCGAAGGCGGUCUACCAGAACACGUUCGACGGUGAGGGAUGAAAGCUGGGGGAGCAAACCGGAUUAGAAACCCCAGUAGUCC